CAUGACUGAAACAAUGGAACAUUUGGCAAAAAAUGUACAAUGCUGAGAAUAAUACCUACCUUGAAAGCAAGAGCAGCAAUAGCAGAAACAAGCCAAAAUGGGAAGAACCAGACGUUGAAGUACAGUUCCAUCUGGAAAGGUCUUCACAAUAAAG